AGAGAGAUGCCAAAAAAAAAGGAAAAAAACCCAAAUGUAGACAGAGCCAAGUAAGAGUGAAAUAAAAAAUGAAUCAAGAGAAGCCUGUGUGUAAAGAAGCAAAGUGGGAAAAUGAAAAUUUUAAUGCAACUGGCACUGGAGACAUAUCCCAGUGAAGCCCCUCAGAAGACUGGCAUGCUGAAAAAUGCACAGUGCUGGGAAAAGGUUUUCUAUGGAAAUUCAUUCUGAGACAUACGUUAUUUGAGUGUUUUGCAAAGAAAAAAAGUAAGAAAACUGGAGACAGACUCACGUCCUUUCCCACCAGAGAAAUGAGCCCUCGCUGUUGCUGGAAGUGCUAACUAUGGUGUCAUGCAGUGGAAGAGUUGGGGAAUCUCCCAAUAACUCGGUCUCUGAUAAAAGAGACUAACAUCCUGCAGUCAGGUUGGCCAGUAUGCACUGCGAAUGAGCAAAACAAGGAAAAGACAAUUCAACAGUGGAAAUAAAAUGUCAAACAUAAUGAGAGCCUGAUCACUAUGCAGAAGAAAUGCUGGCAUGAAAGGUGUUAGAGGGAUUUAGCCUAUUUAAGGGGCAUAGAUUAUAAAGAACAUCCUCCAGCUCACCUGUUACUCUGCUUUGGAGCCAGAUGGCCAGAACAAAUCACUGAUGGGGAAAGUGAGGACUGAAGGUGGUAAGGGGGGGUGAAAUCUGCCUCGUGCAGAGAAUCUCUGCACCGACAGAUCUACUUCUGGAAAUGGACUGGAAAACACAAAAUGCAAAGGUCCUGCUGACUUUCAGCAAGAAAAACACAUUCCUGUCUAUCAAGCAAGAGACGCUGAAACACAAAGCUGCUAUUCUUAAACACAGCUCCUAGUGGAGAGGUGUUAAAAUGGUUUAUUUAGCUAACACAAACAUGACUAGAAUCUGCGUGAAGGAAGGUGCCUACUACCUGUGGCAUCCCAGCUGAGGAGGCGGAGGGUCGGAAAUGCAUGCCAUGCCUGUCAAAGGAGGGAAGAAACCGGACUGCCAACAUUACCAUGGAAACACGCAAAAAUAAAGACUUUCCCAGCCUUGUGAGAGCACACCUGCAAGAACAAGAAUUGCCUGUCAGAAGUGACUCUCCUUCAUUAUUGGUGUCACCUAAGGACAUUUUUUGUGGGCUGGAGCUGGUGUUUAUAAGAAGAAUUCUUCCUAGAAGUGCAAAGCUACUGUCAGCAGGAACAAUGGUCCUUCUCACGUGGUCUGCUCACUCCAGCUAAUAACAAGAUCUCUGUCCUAAUCCCAGCGUUGAAGACCUUUUUGCAGAAUUUACCAGGUGUAAGUACAGUACUAUCAAAGUUAUGGAUAUUUGCAGUCAAUAAGGUUUCUAUGUCACAAGAGAAAUGUUUUCCCAACAAGUGCUGAUUCAAAUGUUGCGCAUUCCCACUGCUUCAAUUUUUGCUGUAGGCUGAGUAGAUGAUUAUUUAGUGUUGCUACAAACUGUGGUAUCACUUAUGCGGCUCACCAAAGAGGUGGUUGUGUUUCAGCGUUAGGUGGGAGUAUUCCUAUGCAUGCGUUUGUGCUCAAAAUGACCAGUUCAAAAGUUUUGUUGUGUAUGUUUAUUGAUACCCUUUAAGGUGAAUGGGUGUCGUAGAUGGGAGUAGAAUUUCAAUUUCCUCGUGUAGCAGCCCUACUGUCAACCAGUUUAAACUGAAAAGGGGUUAUAAGUGUUUUGAACUCUUCAGUGGCAAAUACUGUGGAAGCUGGAGAUAGACGAAAUGCCUGAGGCUUCUCAUGCAGGGUUAAUUUUCCAGGAAUGAAGUGGAGAAAUGAAAUUAAUUGUAGUGGAAGUUGUAAACUGGCAUAGAUUUGAGCUCAGUCAUCAUACAAUUUUGGCUGGGUGCUCUGUGCAAGCUGCAGUUCCUCCUCCUAAAGUGUUAAAAUCAUGUCAUUUGUGUGUGCUUUCUGGAACUGAAGAGACUACAACAGCAUAAUACCACUUCAACUCAAUAGGGAAUGAUUGCAACUGAAAAGCAUUUAUUUAUUUGGUGUGAAUCAUUCUGUACUACAUUUCAGUCCCACACUGAAAGGGAGGUCUGUUUGUCUUUUCAAGGUUUACUUAAAAAGGAGAGGAAGCGAGAAGGCGUCCCAGGCACCUUUACUUUGCUAACACAGCUGACACACACCUCUCUUCAUAGUGCUGAUGUACUGCAAAGGGACAUCUAGGACAUUCUAGUGUUUAUUGUUACCACAUCAAGUCUUUGCCUUUUGUUAUCAGGAUGCUGGUCAGUGUAAACAAGAAAUAAUAUUGCAAUAUUGGUAUCAUAGAAGAGGUUACAAAUUGAGAAAAACUGUGUUUUGCUGUAAUGUCAGUAUCUAUUGGUUCUGCCUUGCUAGUAGUUUUUAAAAUGAGCUAGACAUAAAAUAGCCACAGUUUUGUCUAAAAAUAAAGCAGAUCCUUUAUGAAGAAAGCUGUCUCUUUAAGAGGACUGGUGAAUUGUAGAGAGGAUAACUUAAUAUUAUGGUAACCACCUGGAUUUGAUUUUUAACUACUGAAAAACAGUGCUACAUUAAUGACAAUUUUCAGAAAAAGAACUCAAAAACUUAAGCUGUUACAAAAGUAAAAAAAAACCCAAACAACAAACCCAAACAAAGCAACAUCCUCACUAUUCAUUUCCAUCUCUGCCUUUUUUAAGAUUAAACUCUGCUUCUUAAUCUCAUCCUAAAAAGACAUGUUGAGAAGUAGAAACCUCAUUUUUCUAUGUUUAUUGCAUUUUCUUCACCUGCUCCUUAAUCUGAAUUACCUUCAUGAAAUUGGCUUACGUUAGUGUGACUAGUGAUUUUUGUAUUAUAACUCCAGGACCCCUGUCAAUCUCCUUGAGUUCUACCUGGAAAGUAGAACCAGGUUUGCUUCCACACCACAGGGGUCAGGCACUGUUCCUAAAGCUGAUCUGAGGAGCAGAGCUGGUCACAAAAAGCUGCAAAUUCCAUUACAGUUGUAGCCAUGGAUUGACUUAUGCCUUGUGUGCUCCCAUAUCCUCUGUGUGACAGUGACCUCAGGCUCCCAACCCUAAUGCUCAGUUGCUGGGGAGGGGGUUUCUUCCUCAGCCAGCUGGCCAAGGGCUCUUACACUGAUGCACAGUAACUUUGGCUUUUUUCUUUUCUUUCUCCACAGUUCAGGUCAGAUCCCCUUAUUCCGAUUUACAUACAUGCCAACCAUUCUAGGAUGGAACUAAUAAUUGUAUGUGUAGCAAGCGAGAAGCAGAGUUUGUAGGAAGAGAACAUGCACGUAAAAUUUUUAUUAGGCCAGUUAAUAUAAUUGGAAAGAGUAGGGAGGCUUUCGGGCUCAAAGUCCCUUCUCUGGGUCUGAAAAGGAGUGGCAAAAUCCAAGCUAGAGACAAGGUAAAGCCCAAUUCCUCUUAGUUUAAUCUAAUUAUGUUAGUCAGGCCACUUGAGAGAUAAGGGUACUUAGCAUGUGUAGAGCAAACCUCCCUUCCAUAUUACAGCAAUCACAUUCUGCUGGGAAAAGUUAUGUUGCAAGGCGAGCUACACGAGCCUGUACAUCAGUUUUCAGAGAGACCUCCUGGGGUACUUAAUUGCUGACACGCUUUUAGCCAUACUGGCAGCACACACAGCACUUCAGCCCAGCCACAUGGAAUACAGGAUCUGCAGUGUUACAAAAUAAUCCAUUUUAACAUCACGAUGCAGUGUUUGCACGUAGGACUCCACUGAACCUGUGCCUUCAUUGGUGGUUGUUCAACCGCUGAGGAGGUUGAGUCCUCAGAGACUGAGAGGAGCUCAGUGCCUGUGAUUUUGGGAGCCCCUUUGGGACUCCUCUGGAGUCUCCCUGAGCUGGUGGGUGGACAAGAUUCCAAUCAGGCAAAUGGAUGUAUUACCAAUAAGUCUUGUUGUUUGGCCAUCUGGAUGUACUGCUACUGCCAGGCUCAUUUUUCAGCUUGAUGACCGUAAUGAUUUUGGCAAUGGCUGUGGCUGCUCCCAUUCAUUCUUUUAACAAUUUCCAUUACCCUGGCCAAUUAUAUUUGGGGUCCUGGCCUUUUCUUUCAGAGCUAUGUGGUUUAAUGUUUCAAGAUCUCUGAAUAGUGAUUUGUACGAGUAUGUCCCUCUGUGGCUGCUCCCCAUCUUCUUGGAGCAGUUUUACACACAGCAUUAUGCCUUUUGAACUAGCU